rnacentral:lncRNA from 1 species
GGCCAAAAUCUCAAAUACUUGUUGGAUGCUGAACUUGGUUGUGACAUAGUUUUCCAGGUUGGAGAAGAGACAUUUAAGGGUCAUAAGUUGAUACUUGCUGCUCGGUCUCCUGUGUUUAGAGCCCAAUUCUUUGGACUUAUUGGGAAUCCUAAUACAGACAAAGUAGAAUUUGAGGAUAUUGAACCCCCAAUCUUCAAGGUAAUUACUUCGUGCCUUAUUGGGAAUCUUAAUACAGACAAAGUAGAACUUGAGGAUAUUGAACCCUCAAUCUUCAAGGUAUUUAGUUUGUGCUUUAAUACACAUGAUUCUUCUGCUGUAUGAAGAAACAUAUAUAAUUAAAGGAAGGUAAGAGAUGGUGAAUUUUGAAAGAUGAAAGGUCUUUUCGUUUUAGGCACUUCCCAAAACUUUGA